CGAAUAUAUCUACUAAAAACAAGUUUUAUUUUUCUUCUGUUGGUCUACAUUUGUAUGUAGAUAAACUAUUAACUGAAGGAAUUCAAAAAGCUAUAUAGAGUAUCUAAUAAACAAGUAAAUAUUGGUGAGUAUGCACUACCGUUUACUAUACAUUUAGGAUGGCAUAGUAUUUUAAUCCCUUUGCAUGAUAAAAAGUUGUAGCUGCCUAUCAAGAAUGUUUAAUGUGAUGGUUUCCCAUUGCUUUCUCAUCGACCAUCCAUCUGUACUACUCCACAACACAUUUAUUGGGAAAAUUACGAAAAAUGCUGGAGCUAGAAGCUAUAAAGCACAAAUAAAUGGUGAUAGAUCGCGAAUAUUGGGGAAGGGAAUAUAAUAUAACCUAGAGAAGAAGAAAUAUAAUAAUAUUAAUAUUUUAUUAUACAUAUUAUGUAUGAUCUGUGGUGAUACAAACUCC